GAUGAACGCUAGCGGCAGGCCUAAUACAUGCAAGUCGAACGGUGUCUUCGGACAUAGUGGCGCACGGGUGCGUAACACGUAUGCAACCUACCUUACAUUGGGGGAUAGCCUUUCGAAAGGGAGAUUAAUACCGCAUAAGACAGUAGCUGGGCAUCCAGCAGCUGUUAAAGAUUUAUCGAUGUAAGCUGGGCAUGCGUCCAAUUAGCUAGUUGGUGAGGUAACGGCUCACCAAGGCAAUGAUUGGUAGGGGAACUGAGAGGUCAAUCCCCCACACUGGCACUGAGCUACGAGCCAGACUCCGACGGGAGGCAGCAGUAGGGAAUAUUGGGCAAUGGACGCAAGUCUGACCCAGCCAUGCCGCGUGCAGGAUGAAGGCGUUAUGCGUUGUAAACUGCUUUUAUACAGGAAGAAACGACUCUUGCGAGAGGCAUUGACGGUACUGUAUGAAUAAGCACCGGCUAACUCCGUGCCAGCCGCCGCGGUAAUAC
rnacentral:rRNA from 1 species